ACGCUCGACACCUACGGAGGCAGCAGUGGGGAAUAUUGCACAAUGGGGGAAACCCUGAUGCAGCGACGCCGCGUGAGCGAAGAAGUAUCUCGGUAUGUAAAGCUCUAUCAGCAGGGAAGAAAAUGACGGUACCUGACUAAGAAGCACCGGCUAAAUACGUGCCAGCAGCCGCGGUAAUCUGAGGCGGGCUGGCAAGGC
rnacentral:rRNA from 1 species